rnacentral:misc_RNA from 1 species
UUUCCGUAGGUGAACCUGCGGAAGGAUCAUUACCGAGUUUGGGGGAAACCUCAACUCCCACCCUUGUUUACCGCAUGUUGCUUCGGCGAGACGUUGGAAGCAACCGCCGGCGAUUCGAUCAACGAUGACCCGACGCGUGCUCGCCGGACUCCAAAUACUCUAGACUAUGUAACGUCAGAUGAAACAAGCAAUAUAUAAAAACUUUCAACAACGGAUCUCUUGGUUUUGGCAUCGAUGAAGAACGCAGC